rnacentral:rRNA from 1 species
CCUACGGGGGGCAGCAGUGGGGAAUAUUGCACAAUGGGCGAAAGCCUGAUGCAGCAACGCCGCGUGAAGGAAGAAGGCCUUCGGGUCGUAAACUUCUGUCCUUGGGGAAGAAGAACUGACGGUACCCAAGGAGGAAGCCCCGGCUAACUACGUGCCAGCAGCCGCGGUAAUACGUAGGGGGCAAGCGUUAUCCGGAAUUAUUGGGCGUAAAGAGUACGUAGGUGGCAACCUAAGCGCAGGGUUUAAGGCAAUGGCUCAACCAUUGUUCGCCCUGCGAACUGGGAUGCUUGAGUGCAGGAGAGGAA